rnacentral:lncRNA from 1 species
GCCGCGGUGGGCGCGGCUGCUCGGCCACGGUGGCCCCCGGCUCGGUCUGGGCCCCCAGCGGGGCGGGGUGCACAGGACCCCGGUGCUCAGGCCCGGCCUUGACCACAGCCCUCACCACGUAGAGGCAUCCGGGCCUUGCUCACAUAUCCCUGCUCCCUCUGCCCAGGGGCGGCUUGCAAGUAAGAAACAGCAGAGAGGAAAAGACCAGCCCUGCUCAGGGAGAAGAGAAAGUGGGCACCGGUUCCAGUUUUUUAAGGAGCUGGCUACGAGCCAGCCAGCAGGCAUCAGAGGAAGGCAGCUGACUGCACUCGGCCACAUCCUGAACGUGCCUGAAAAGGAAGGAGGAAGAAGUGCCAGACUGGGGGAAAGGCCUCUGACCUCACGUUCUUUGCUUAUGGAGUGGCCAGGGGGGAUUCAGUGACCUUUGAGACAGGGGACGACAUCCUCAAGUUCGGCUCAGACUCGGCAGCUGCAUCUGCAGAGGCUCAGGAGGUCAGAGCUGUGUCAGGAUCCGUGACCCCCACGUGAGCAAGGUGGCCCGGUGGGAGGCUUCCGUCACCGUGACGACUCUGAUGCUGAGCUACGGCAGCCCGACUUGAGUGGCGAGUCGAGAACGGUGUUCUAGGGCCUGCUUUUCCAAGUUCCCUCAUUGAGUUGAGGGUGGAGUCUGUAUCUCACCCAACCUCGAUUUUCCCCGUUUGUAAAAUGGGAGGCGCUAUAAGUAAUUGUCAAGGCAAGUGUGGGGUAAAGCCUUGAAAUGAGAGCACAUAAAGUUAUCCACCCACCCACACAUCCAUCCACCCACCCAUGCCUCCUUCCGUGCAUCCACCAAAUCUCAAGAGCCAGCUCUGAGCAGAUACUUGCAAACACCCAUGAGUCAGAAUUUCUCCUACUUCCGGGGACUCUCGGUUCCCGUGUGAGGGGGCUGUCUUGUGAAUAAAGGGGCCAGCAUUGGUUCAGUCUAGACCAUUUGGCAGGUUUCUUAAAGGAGACUCCCUUGGAGCUGGUUUGAUGUGAGAGUUUGCCUCGUGGAGGAGCAGGGGAACCGCGUCUCGGGCACAGGGAAUGGCAAAGGCCUACUGGGGCGUGGGGUACAGGCCUCCUGGCUCUGUGUUGUGGCUGAAAUUUGUCAGUAGCUGCAGCCGCAGCUGUGGGUGGGGGUUUCUGAGCUGGGCUG